rnacentral:rRNA from 1 species
CACGUAGGGUGCGAGCGUUGUCCGGAAUUAUUGGGCGUAAAGAGCUCGUAGGCGGUGUGUCGCGUCGGCCGUGAAAACCUGCAGCUUAACUGUGGGCGUGCGGUCGAUACGGGAAUCACUGGAGUUCGGCAGGGGAGACUGGAAUUCCUGGUGUAGCGGUGAAAUGCGCAGAUAUCAGGAGGAACACCGGUGGCGAAGGCGGGUCUCUGGGCCGAUACUGACGCUGAGGAGCGAAAGCGUGGGGAGCAAACAGG